GCCUCCCAAAAGGUAACGGAGGCGUGCAAAGAUUUCCUCGGGCCAGACGGACAUUGGUCCUCGAGUGCAAAGGCAGAAGGGAGCUUGACUGCAAGACUCACCCGUCGAGCAGAGACGAAAGUCGGCCUUAGUGAUCCGACGGUGCCGAGUGGAAGGGCCGUCGCUCAAC
rnacentral:ncRNA from 1 species